rnacentral:rRNA from 1 species
GAGUUUGAUCCUGGCUCAGAACGAACGCUGGCGGCAGGCUUAACACAUGCAAGUCGAACGCCCCGCAAGGGGAGUGGCAGACGGGUGAGUAACACGUGGGAACGUGCCCUAAGGUUCGGAAUAUUCCCGGGAAACUGGGAGCAAUACCGAAUGUGACCGCAAGGUGAAAGAUUUAUCGCCUUAGGAUCGGCCCGCGUCGGAUUAGCUAGUUGGUGGGGUAAAAGCCUACCAAGGCGACGAUCCGUAGCUGGUCUGAGAGGACGACCAGCCACACUGGGACUGAGACACGGCCCAGACUCCUACGGGAGGCAGCAGUGGGGAAUCUUGGACAAUGGGCGCAAGCCUGAUCCAGCCAUGCCGCGUGGAUGAUGAAGGCCUUAGGGUUGUAAAAUCCUUUCGUCAGGGACGAUAAUGACGGUACCUGAAGAAGAAGCCCCGGCUAACUUCGUGCCAGCCGCCGCAGUAAU